UGAGAAAGGCCUCAGGCCUGGGGGUCCUCUGGGAGCGGGGCCUGGAGGGCCUGCCCAGCAUCUGCCCUGAUCCAGAAGGGAGUUCCCCUGGCCUCGUGUUGCGUUUGGCACUUAAUAAUGCAGCCGCUGUCCUAGAAGGCUCUCCCACCACCACCUUCCCGCCCCACACAGGACUGCAGAGAGUUAUUCUAACCGGAGGGAUGACAGCCUCUGUUGAGACACCAGUGGAACCACAGGAGGACACAGUUCUGUCUACGCAGGGCCAGACCAGACAGGCACCCAGCGUCCAGAAGAGGGCAGUCUGGACUGUGAGAUGGGACAGUUGGGGGGACUCCCGGAGGGCCGAUAAUGCUCCAGUUCCUGAUUGGGUGUUGGUUAUAUGGAGUCACUUUGUGAAAAGUGACUUUUCUUGCACUUUUCUGUAUAUGGUAUUCAAUAUUUACCAAAAAAAAAAUAAGGACCUUUUCAGAAAGGUGUCCUCUUUAACACACCUGCCAGCGAGCUUAUUGCCACGGCCGCCCUCCUCCCAGCUCCCUUCUCCUCCGCGAAGGCACCUCCUUUGCCCAGCGAGGAGCCCAGGAUCCGCUGGCCUCAGACCUGCCCGCACGGCCCACCCCCCGCCGGCUGAGCCGGGAGCCGCCUGUCCCUCUACUGCCUCCCCGAGCCUGCGGUGAGGGGUUCGGGGUCUCCCCCCACACCCCAUCUUGCCCUCCUCUGUCGCCUGGCACACGUUGCCCUGUCCAGGAGCACCGAGGGCUCUGGAGGCCCUUCUUGGUCGUUCUGUGACCCAUCUCGGCACAGCUCCUGGCGUGCCCGGGGCACCUCCUCUGUCGCAGUGUGGGCCACACAGCAUGCGCUCGGAAGAGCCCCGCCCCGCCCGCCGUCGGGGAGACACCGGUCCUCACUCACCUCUCGGGUUCUGCUCGAGUUCGCAGCACGCGUCCCACCCCCACUUCGCUCAGGCUUCACAGAGCACGACUCCCAGGUGCUGGUCCCUCUGCUGGGCUGCACCCGUGGCCACGGCCUGUCGCGUGUUCUGUGUCCCCUCUUGGCAGCCGGCAUGCUUCCCUCCCCACGAGUGGCCAGGCUGCCAGGGGACAGCGGGGCCGGGGAGGCCUGGGGACUGGAUGGCGAGACAGCCCACAGGUGGGAACAGGCAUGGGACAUGCCUGGUGACUUUUCCCGAAAAACCCUAAACCCCAGUCCACCUGGAGGUGGCCCUUGCUGGCUGUCACGGUGUCCGCAUCACGCCCCCUCCCCGCCACCCCGGAGUUCUGCCUGGGUGUCUACUGCGUGCCCGUGUGCCUUGAAGAUGACGCGGUCCCAGCCUACAGGUCAGCUCAGACCCGCAGCCACAGGCAGACGCACAGAGGUGAUGGGACCCGCGGCCCGGCCAAGGCUCUGUUGAGAAGCCUCGCGGGGAGUCCUCCACGCCCCUGGGGACCAAGCCAUCCUGCCGACAGCAGGGCCUGAGGGACGGGCCCUAGGGCUUCCUUGGUGCCUGCCCUCCUGCACGGCUGCUUCCUCGGACAGAACGUCCCUUCCUCUCCACCGCCAGCUGGAGAGCAGCUUCGCGUGGCCCACGGUGUGAGCAGCCCUGAGUGACACUGCUUUACGUGUUGUUAACUAACUCAGUCCUCAGCUGCAGGCUGGACUCUCCCAGUUCACAACCUCUGACCCAGUUCAACCCCUUUAUUAUUUUUUUUAAUUUAUUUUUGGCUGCAUUGGGUCUUAAUUGCUGCACACAGGCUUUCUCUAGUGGAGAGCGGAGGCUACUCUUUGUUGCGGUGUGCGGGCUUCUCAUUGCAGUGGCUUCUCUUGUUGUGGACCACGGGCUCUUAGGUGCGCGGGCUUCAGCAGUGGCGGCACGCGGGCUCUAGAGUGCAGGCUCAGUAGUUGUGGCACACGGGCUUAGUUGCUCCGCGGCAUGUGGGAUCUUCCCAGACCAGGGCUCGAACCCGUGUCCCCUGCAUUGGCAAGUGGAUUCUUAACCACUGCACCAUCAGGGAAGCCCAACCCGUUUAUUCUUAAAUGGGGAACUGAAGCCCAGACGGGGAAAGCCAACUGCUCUGGUCAUGGAGCUCUUUCCUGAAACCAACGUGCCCACUCGGUGAGGCGGGGGGUAGGGGUGGGGGGUGGAGGCAGCACCCACUCAGCGCAGCUCCUACAGGUCGCCAGACGCGCUUUGAAAUCAAAGUGUGUGGGUUUGAGGGCUUGGUUUCUCAAUAGCUAUUUAAAGCCCAGUUAUCGGAUUACUUAAAAGCUACUGCCACUAAGGCAGAGAGCACGUGACCGACCCCCAGCCCCUCGGUACUGAAAAGACGGCAUCUCAUCUCUUGAGAUGGGAAGUCCCAGGGCAGCUGGGUCCACCUCACUGGGUUCAGGAACAUUCUCUGGUGGGUGGCUCCCAGGUAUACCCUAGGUAUCCUGGUGUUUAAACAAAACUCGACGUGUAACUGACAGUAUUCUGAUGGUUGUGUGUGUGUAAAAACUACAUAUAAAAGUGUUAGGGGGGGGCCUCCCUGGUGGCGCAGUGAUUGAGAGUCCGCCUGCCAAUGCAGGGGACACGGGUUCGUGCCCUGGUCCGGGAAGAUCCCAUGUGCCGCGGAGCGUCUAGGCCCGUGAGCCAUGGCCGCUGAGCCUGCGCGUCUGGAGCCUGUGCUCCGCAAGGGAGAGGCCACAACAGUGAGAGGCCCGCGUACCACAACAACAAUAAAAAAAAGUGUUAGGCUGCUUUACCAGCUCCCACGGACCCCAAAGUCUGGCUGAGACAGAACAUACUUUUCUCCAGUGUUAUCAGCUGGUGUAAACAGUUUAGGAAAGAUAAAUGACCAGCCCAGUUGGGCAUAAGAACCUCUGAGAUACGAAAUUCCAGGGCUGUGUCUCCAGCCCUCAGGGAGGUCCUGGAAGGGCCUCAUCGUGGUACCUGCUUCUCGACCAUCACCCUCUGGAUCAGGUUUCUAAAUGAAAUCUCGUUCUCUCUUGUGUGAUCUGUACCUGGCCGAUUGAUACAGCAGCCGCUCACUGUAUGACUAGAUGAAAAUACAAAUUUAAAAUUAAAAACUCAGCUCCUUACAGUUGCACUCUCCACUUUUCAAGUGCUCAGCAGCCCGUGUCCAGUGGCCACUCUGCUGGGCCGCCCAGUUCCGGAACAUUUCUGCCUGAUCCAUAAUCUCUCCGGGUUUGUUUACCGACGCACAGAUGAUUGGAUCCUGUGUCUGCUGCCUUUGCAAGAGGCCACGACGACUAGGUGGCCUAUUAAAAACAGGCCUUUUCACCUGCUCCCCAGGGGCUCUCUUUGGGGCAGAGCUGGUCCUUCUGUCCGCUCUGCUGUGCUCUUGGACUCCCACUCUGACUUGGUAGCGAUGAAACGCGGUAGCUUGUCUAACGGACAGGUUGUAGGCAGCGGAGGCAUCUGAGGGUGUACACCGCUGACAGUUGCAGCUUUUUCUUUGGCACUUUGCAGAGGAUACUGAAAUAUUACUUCAAAAGAUGAAGCGAUAGAAAUGGAAUACGAAUCAGUCAUUAUACCUCAUGAUGCGUCUGUGAACGCCCUGUACUUACUUUUGGGUUAUUACCGUCUUCAGCCCAAGGUUAGAUGCACGUUUACAGACAUGGAAAACUGAAAAUCGAGAAGAGUCAGGGUGACUGGGUGAGAGGCUCUGAAAUGACGGAUGGCAGCGCCUCGUUCAGGAAGUGCACGAACCUUGUGGCCUUUGAUGAUUUUUAAAAGCCAAUUAAUAUUUUCUUGUGGCCUUUAUUAAUUAGCAUUUUCCAUUAUUCUCCAGAUCAGAACAUAGUAACCUAUUGGUACGUCUUAAACAGCACACAGGUGACGGUGGUACUUGUCUCAUCAACGGAGUUCUGAUGGAGGGACACCUACAUGCUGCUGAUCCGUGAGGAUGAGAGGGGCGCAGAGGUGCUAUUCAUGGGCUCACACAGUUCCUGCCACAGGCCUGCAGCUCAUCACAGCCCAGGCAGCAGUGCUGGGGCUCGUUAGAAGCAUAAAUGCUUCUAAGGUGAUAUGAGAAAAUGCUAUGAUCCCACCAUGAGGUUGGGUGCUGGGGAGGGAGGGGAAAAUAUCUAUAUAUCUAAAUAUAUCAAUAUUUAUCUAUAUCUCAAAGGAAAUAUAAUGAAAUGUUAACAGGAGUUAUCCUAGAAGUGAGAUUAUAAAUAGAAUUUUCUUUUUAAUACUGUUGUAUGUUUUCCAAAUUUUCUACCCAAACAAAAAUUCUCUGGAUUAUUUUUAUGAACAGUGUUAUUUUUAGAAGUAGUAUUUAAAAUGAGAUGUAAUGAUUAGAUGUUUUAAUUUUUACAAGGAGACCCUGACCAAACUUGGACUUUGCUGUUUAGCCAAAACCUGUAGCUUCGACUGCCCGCCGGAUUUAAAAGGAAACCUAAUUUCAGCAUAUGUUUAAUGUACCCAGCAAAUGGCAACAUUUGAGCAGUGGACGGGACUCCUACCGUCCCCUCCCUGGAUGAACGAAUGCUGCCCGGAAGGAUGGGAAAGGACGCGGUACAGCUCAGGCGGCCCGGCUCGGGGAGCGUCACCCCUGGCCUGCCCAUCCCGCCGCUUCUCCGCCGUUGCCCCAACCGCGCCCAGCCACGCAGACCCCACGACACCGUCUGAAGGCUUUGGGUUUCAUCAGAGCUCUUCCUUCAGGACUCGGCUCAAAUGCUUGCCUCCAAGAAGCCACUUCUGAUGCUUCCCAGGAGCCUGAGCCAGGGCCUUCCCCGCCUCCUGUCACCCUGCACCUUUUCCACAGCCCCAAUAAACAGCGCUCACUGGACUCAGUUCCGGGGUUGAUUCCUAUUUGUUACCCUAGAGCCUAGCCCAGGGCCUGGACUGUAAUAAGCUCAUCAAUAAAUGUUCCAUGGACGAGUUCCAGUGCGACCCGCAGAUGCCCUCUACAAAGUGUACCUUCACGUGCCAUGUGAUUGGGUUUAAAAAAGUUUCGUUGGUCACAGUAGUCUGAUACCAUAGAAAUGUUUGUUGCCAACGUUAUAAAUGUGACCUCACUGUAACUAUCGACUCUAUACCUGUUCCCUUUUACUGCAAGGUUUCACUUACUAUUAAGAAAAGUGUUCGUCAACAUUCAUUAUUCUGACAUUUGCAAAAUCAACGCCAACUAAUCGCCAUUGGAAUCACAGAAGGAGGGCGUUUUCAUUACAUAUUUAGAGUUUUUUUUUUUUUUUUUUUUGUGGUACGCGGGCCUCUCACUGUUGUGGCCUCUCCCGUUGCGGAGCACAGGCUCCGGACGCGCAGGCUCAGCGGCCAUGGCUCACGGGCCCAGCCUCUCCACGGCAUAUGGGAUCUUCCCGGACCGGGGCACGAACCCUUGUCCCCUGCAUCGGCAGGCGGACUCUCAACCACUGCGCCACCAGGGAAGCCCUGUUUGUAGAUUUUUUGACGAUAGGCCCCCUAUUUCUGUCUUGCAGGCUGGAAGGCCUUUUUCAGUCUUUCAUUUUAGUGGCCUUUAUUUUUUUAUUUCAUAUAAGAAUAUUUAAAAGCUCUAGGGCUCCCCUGGUGGUGCAGUGGUUGAGAGUCUGCCUGCUGAUGCAGGGGACACGGGUUCGUGCCCCGGUCCGGGAAGAUCCCACAUGCCACAGAGCGGCUGGGCCCGUGGGCCAUGGCCGCUGAGCCUGCGUGUACGCUGUGCUCCGCAACAGGAGAGGCCACAACAGUGACAGGCCUGCGUACCAAAAAAAAAAAAAAAAUCUACAAACAAUAAAUGCUGGAGAGGGUGUGGAGAAAAGGGAACCCUCUUGCACUGUUGGUGGGAAUGUAAAUUGAUACAGCCACUAUGGAGAACAGUACGGCGGUUCCUUAAAAAACUAAAAAUAGAACUACCACACAACCCAGCAAUCCCACUACUGGGCCUAUACCCUGAGAAAACCAUAAUUCAAAAAGAGUCAUGUACCACAAUGUUCAUUGCAGCUCUAUUUACAAUAUCCAGGACAUGGAAGCAACCUAACUGUCCAUCGACAGAUGAAUGCUUAAAGAAGGUGUGGCACAUAUAUACAAUGGAAUAUUACUCAGCCAUAAAAAGAAACGAAAUUGAGUUAUUUGUAGUGAGGUGGAUGGACCUAGAGUCUGUCAUACAGAGUGAAGUAAGUCAGAAAGAGAAAGACAAAUACCGUAUGCUAACACAUAUAUAUGGAAUCUAAAAAAAAAAAAGGUUCUGAAGAACCUAGUGGCAGGACAGGAAUAAAGACUCAGACACAGAGAAUGCACUUGAGGACACGGGGAGGGGGAAGGGUAAGCUGGGAUGAAGUGAGAGAGUCGCAUGGACAUAUAUACACUACCAAAUGUAAAACAGAUAGCUAGUGGGAAGCAGCCGCAUAGCACAGGGAGAUCAGCUCGGUGCUUUGUGACCACCUAGAAGGGUGGGAUAGGGAGGGCGGGAGGGAGACGCAAGAGGGAGGGGAUAUGGGGAUAUAUGUGUACGUAUAGCUGAUUCAUUUUGUAUACAGCAGCAGCUAACACAACAUUGUAAAGCAAUUAUACUCCAAUAAAGAUGUUAAAAAAAAAGAAAUAGGGGG